CUUCCGCCCUCCCCGCACAGGAGGACGGAUCGAGGUAACCCGCGCGCUCUGCCCUGACCGCGCAGGCUCCUCCCACCGGCCGGAGGGAACCGCACACCCGCCGGCCGUAAGUACUCCGGGCUACGGUGCCGGGCGGGUCGAGGGUCCCGUCCUGCACC
rnacentral:ncRNA from 1 species